AUUGAACGCUGGCGGCAGGCCUAACACAUGCAAGUCGAGCGGAUGAAGGGAGCUUGCUCCUGGAUUCAGCGGCGGACGGGUGAGUAAUGCCUAGGAAUCUGCCUGGUAGUGGGGGAUAACGUCCGGAAACGGGCGCUAAUACCGCAUACGUCCUGAGGGAGAAAGUGGGGGAUCUUCGGACCUCACGCUAUCAGAUGAGCCUAGGUCGGAUUAGCUAGUUGGUGGGGUAAAGGCCUACCAAGGCGACGAUCCGUAACUGGUCUGAGAGGAUGAUCAGUCACACUGGAACUGAGACACGGUCCAGACUCCUACGGGAGGCAGCAGUGGGGAAUAUUGGACAAUGGACGAAAGCCUGAUCCAGCCAUGCCGCGUGUGUGAAGAAGGUCUUCGGAUUGUAAAGCACUUUAAGUUGGGAGGAAGGGCAGUAAGUUAAUACCUUGCUGUUUUGAUGUUACCAACAGAAUAAGCACCGGCUAACUUCGUG
rnacentral:rRNA from 1 species